UUUUGAACCGCAUGGUUCAAUAGUGAAAGACGGCUUCGGCUGUCACUUAUAGAUGGACCCGCGCCGUAUUAGCUAGUUGGUAAGGUAAUGGCUUACCAAGGCGACGAUACGUAGCCGACCUGAGAGGGUGAUCGGCCACACUGGAACUGAGACACGGUCCAGACUCCUACGGGAGGCAGCAGUAGGGAAUCUUCCGCAAUGGGCGAAAGCCUGACGGAGCAACGCCGCGUGAGUGAUGAAGGUCUUAGGAUCGUAAAACUCUGUUGUUAGGGAAGAACAAAUUUGUUAGUAACUGAACAAGUNCUUGACGGUACCUAACCAGAAAGCCACGUGC
rnacentral:rRNA from 2 species